UGGCGUGGCCCGGAAGCAGACGGUGGUUUCCGCCCUCGCUCCCGGGCAGGCAGGCUCCGACCGGCCAGUGGAGCUGUAGCCGGGUUUCUGUCCCUCCUUGUGUUCUCGGCCGACAGCAUGCUCCAGUUCCUGCUUGGAUUUACUUUUGGCAACGUGGUUGGAAUGUAUCUGGCUCAGAACUAUGAUAUACCAAACUUGGCUAAAAAACUUGAAGAGAUUAAAAAGGAUUUGGAAGCCAAGAAGAAACCCCCUAGUUCCUGAUGCCCACUCCAGCCCUACGUUCUGGAUACUCUGAUUCUGCCGCCCCUGAGGGGCCUCCUGUACCAUCUGAUCCCAAAGCUUUUGUUUUCAUCUUUUCAUCUCCAGCCACAGCAGUUUUCUUCUUUGAUAGAUCCAGUGUUGCCUCAGAGCAAAAGUGGGGCCAUAAGUUAAGAACUACCCUUUAUGUGUCCAACAGCCUUGCCUCUUCCCCCGCCUUUCCUUCCAGCUGACUGGAAUUAUGGUGCUAGUUUAGCAAAGUCGCUUCUCCCCUGUUGUUUGGGAUUUCUACUACCUUUUGUCGAAAGAAAAAUUAGUGAGUUUUUUGUAUAGCUGAUCAGAUACAAAUAAUGCUAAUUUCAUAGUUUUGCAGUUAUAAUGGGUGCUUGUUAAACUAAUUUGUUAUUAAAUUUUGUUGUUUCAAAGUAAUUAAAAUUAAUAUCUAGAAUCCAGUUUCUGUUGAAUUAUCCACUUAUUUUUACUGUUGUCAGGCAGCUCCAUAGUUGAUAAUUCAACUAAUAAAUCAGUUUGCUAUUCAUGAACUGAGACACUCUAUUCUAAGAAUCUUAUCAGUAACUGGGGAAUUAAAAAAUAUGAAAAACAAUGAUUUUUGUUCUAAUGACAUUCACAGUCUAUUUAGCAUGCAUGUUUUUCGUUAAUGAUGUAUUUGAUCUGACUCUUUUUCUUCAAAAGAAUCAUUCUUGGGAUUACAGGUACAUUUGACAUUUUAUCAUGGGUAAGUGUCAAAUUGUUGAUAAAGGAAAUGUUAAGACUUUUUACAUUAAAAGAUAUAUUUACAUUAUAACUUCAUAGUGCUUCUCCUAAGAAAAAUGUAGUUCCACGUAUAAUUUUUUUUUUUUUUUUUAAUUGAAGUCUUGUUGCCUAGGCUAGUCUUGAACUCCAGGGCUCAAGCAAUCUCCCCACCUCAGCCCCCUGAAUGCUGGGAUAACAGGUACAUCAAUAUGCUGGCCAGUCUUUUUUUUUUUUAUUUAUUUAAUUUUUUUUCUAGUACUAGAGAUCAAACACAGGACUUCACACAUGCAGGGCCAACACACUACAAGUACAUCUCCAGCCCUUUUUUAUUCUUUCUUUUCUUUUCUUUUUUUUUUUUUUUUUGUGAUACUGAAGAUUGAACCCAGAAGCACUUUCCACUGAGCUAUAUCCCAGCCCUUUUAAUUUAAGACAGAUCUUGCUAAAUAGCUGAGGCCAACCUUUAACUUAUGAGCCUCCUGUUUCAACCUUCUAAAUCACUAGGAAUACAGAUAUGCAUCACCAUGUUCAGCUUUUAUUUUGAGACAGGGUCUUGCUAAUUUGCCCAGGCUGGUCUUGAAUUUGUGAUCCUCCUGCCUCAACUUCUCAAGUAGCUGGGAUUAUAGGUGCCCCAUUACUAGUUUGAAUUUUUUUAAUUAAAAAUAUUUUAGUAGGUAACUCUUCCAAUGAGUGAAGAUACAGAAGUGAUUUCAUGUAAAUACAGGACCUGUCUCAUCCCUAUCCUCUUUAUUUUUAGCUCUUCUUCCUUGGGCAGUCACUGUUACACAUUCCCAGUUUACUUUUGAGGAAGAGUCUGUUCCUAAACAUGUCUAUAUGCAAAUGGUAACAAACUAUACAUAAUUGUUUUUCUUAAUGGAGCUCAUUCUGUAUCAGCAUUUAAGGAACAAGAAGCCUUACUUCUUUUUUGGCUGUAUACAGUUCUAUUGAAUGGAUGAACCAUAAUUAAUCUGUUACUAAAGAUUGUUUAAAUUGUUCUUUUCUAUUACAUUGAUAACAUAAAACCUAAUGUUAUUAUGUAUACCUCUGCAGGAUAUAGCUGUAAGAUAUAAGUCCUAAAACUAUAUUUACACUUAUAGAGGUAAAUAUCCAUUUCAUUUUUUGUUUCAGAGGGCUUGUUGGGUAGCUUUGUCAGUAAUACCUUUCUGAAGGCAUUUUAGCAGAAUCAAAACACUGGAAGGAUUACUUAGAGACAACUUUUUUUAGUGAUGACAUCAACCCUAUAUGUGAUUCCAAAAUAAAGUGAUUCUGAUUUUCUUUGAAAACAUACAUGAUGAUAAAUUUUAUCCCUGUAAAGAUCAUCCUCCAGUGAGACAGAUUAGGAUCAAAUUAUGGUUUGGCUUCUCCCUUGCAGUGGGAAGUGGGCAAAUGGCUUAUUCUUUCUGAAACUCUGCAUUAAUCUGUAAGAUUUGGAUGUAAUACCUACCUCAUAGGAUUUUCAUGAGAAAUAAAUAAUGUAUAUGGUGUGCUUUGCAAAUUGUCCAAUAAAUAGUAGAUAUUAGUCCAAAUAUGUUGCUUUUGGUCAGGAUAUUUUUGUAUUUCUGCAAUCACUUUUGGAACCAGUGCAUGAACAUGCAGAAUGUGGUGUUAUUCUGUGGUGUUAGAUAUUGAUGAAAGUUCACAGUAUCCACCCUAAUCAUAUUGCCUCACUCACAAUUUGAUCUUGAAUAAUCAGAAUUAACUACAGCCUUGAAGAAUGAAGGUCCACUAUUAUGAAAUAGAAAACUUCAGGAUUGAUAUUGGAAACUUAAUAAGUACAUUAAACUUGAAAGAUUUAGAUUUAGGCAGCAAAAUAAAACCAAAUUAAUCAUUUAAAAUUGUCAAAAAAGGGCAGAAUUCUAUGAGUUGAGCUUACUACUUGACAUCUGUAGGCUUUUCUUAUUUGGUAUUUUACAGAAUUAAGCAGUUAUCUGCUCAGUUAAAGGAGCAAUGUUAUUUUUCUAAUUCAGUUUUCAUCUGUAUAACUACAGAGAAGCUGUGUGGCUUUCCUAGUUGUCUGGACAUAUUAGUUCGUAUGUAUAUGUGUAAUGUUUUCAUUUCCACUGAGCAGUUCACGCCCUAGAUACUGUAAUGGUGUUUGUUUUUCUGCUGAGGUCUCCCACAUUUAAGUGCUUUUUCUGAGCUAUUCCUCUUGAAGGAACACUGUAUACUAUACUGGAGCAAAUGAGACUUCUGAAACUUCCAGUCUGGGUUUUGCACGUAGCAUUGCCAUUCCUUAUGCAGAUGAAUGGAUUCUUUUUCUCCACUUUAGGGCGUUGCCUUAUGGAAAGAAACAGGGCAGUGAAAGGAAAAUAUUUUGAGGCUUGCCUAUAGGGAGUAUGUGACACUUAAAAUUUUAAAUGUUCAGCUUAUACUUUUCCUAAAUUUGGUUGCAACAUUCAGUUAGGUACAAAAGUCCUAAUGGGUGGGUGGCUUGUUGUACAAGGCACUGGAUAAGAAAAAAGAACUGAGAAAAGGGAGAUUUUGUGGAAAGUGCCCACCCAGGGUGGAGUGUUGCAAAACCUGGGUCCUGGGCCUGUAGAAUCACUGCCUCAGUGAUAGGACUGUGUGAAAGUGGAGUCACACUGUCAUACAUGUACAGUUGUUCAGAACUGGGACAAAAGAAAGGUGCCAUGUAAACAGUUGAGAUGUGCUCAGCAUUCCUUCAGUGAGGGCAGCCCCAGGGUAAGCUACCAGUGUACUCAGGGUCUUGGUUCCCUUUGUCUUCUAAUGGUUUAAGCAUCUUGGCAAUAUGGUGGGAUGUUCUUAGAAAUAUUUUUUCAAACAAUGUAGUCCCCACAUGCAAAUGGCCAACUAUAUUCAUUUGGUAUACACAGGGGAUUUGUUCUAGCCCCCCUCCUCACUGCCAUGGACACCAAAAUUUGCAGAUGCUCAAGUUCCUUAUAUGCAACGGUAUAAUAUCCUCAUAUAACCCAUAACAUCCUCCUGUGUUCUUGAGAUUACUUAUAACAAUACAAUGUAAAUGCUAUGUAAAUAAUGACAGGGAACAAAGUCUAUAUGCUCAGUACUGAUGCAAUUUUUAAAAAAUAUUUUCAGUCCAGUAUGAUUGAAGCUACUAAGGCAAAACCUGUGGAUACAGAGGACAGCUAUACUUCAUUUGAUGUUCAGCUAAAGAAAUAGGGAUCUAUUCUGACAUUGAAGGGAAAAGUAGCAAUUUUUAAAAAUUGAAACAUGGUGGCAUAUGAGUCUUUGUGACAUGUAAAUGCCAGUGUAAGACUGUAUACCAUGUACUUUGGUGACUUAAAGGAAUUUUAAAGGCAACCUUGACUGAGCAAAUUUAAUAUGUAAUUGACUUGAGAAUAAGAUGCAACUAAGUGGCUCUCACUCUCAGUUUCAUAAUCAGGAAAAUUACCUGGUAUGAGAUGAUCAUCUAAAGCUUUUUCAUCCAUGUACAUUAAAAGAUAAAAAUCAAAUAAUAUGAAGAGACAAGACUACUGAGAAGGGCUAGAAGUUAUCCAACAGUGGGAGGACAAGGAGUUUUUUUGUUUCUGUUUUUGUUUUGGUACUGGAGAUUGAACCCAGGGGUGCUUAACCACUGAGCCACAUUCCCAGCCCUUAAAAUUUAUUUAGAGACAGGGUCUCUAUAAGUUGCUUAGGGUCUCAGUAAGUUGCUGAGGCUGACUUUGAACUCAGUCCUUCUGCCUUAGCCUUCUGAGUCACUGGGAUUACAGUCAUGAAUCACUGCACCUUAAUAAUUAAUAACUCCUAGGCAUUAUUAAUUAUAUCUUCCAUUUCCUGUCACUGGAAUGGGCAAUCUCAUUUGACUUGAAUCUGGAUUUAGGAAAAAAUGGUACCGUUCUUAAGAGCAGCCAGUAGAACAGAUUGAAACAAAUGAGAUUUCUAAACCAGCGGGUUGAAUACACCUGCUAAUGGAGCAUUGGCUGCAGCUGCAGUGGGAAAUUGGUGCCGCUUCCCCUUUAGCAGUGACUCAGGGUCCCAAGUAGCUGAACAGUGCUGAACAGUGGCCAGUAAUCCACUUAAGUUCUAAGUCAACUUAUUCUCUUUAUACUUACACUCCUGGAAUCUUACUGAUUUUCUGUACCUUUGUCUUGUUUUCUGACUUGGCGUAGGGUCUGUGUAGGGUUGAGAAAUAUGAUGAUUUGGCUGCCUUGACAAUAGUAACAACACCUGACCUUUGAAGCAGAUUGAUUGGAGGGAUGCUGACUUGAUCAAACCAGUUGUAGCAUACCUAACAAUGGGCAUUUCAUUUGAUCCCUGAGAUCUUUACUAUUAAAAUUGGCCAGAUAUCGACUAAGCUAAUAAGCAGGACAAAAGCAGUAGCAUUCCCAGUUAGACAUGGCCAAUCACAUUUUGUAUCCACAGGGGAUUUGUUCUAGCCCCUCUGUGGUUGGAGUGUGUUAACUGGCACAAAAAACAAAAACAAACAAACAAAAAAAACCCAAAAACAAAAACAAAACAACUUUAUAACUCAGACACUUGAUAAACUAAAGGAGUGAUUUUAUAGAUAAAUUAUUGUGGGAAAACUUCACAUGAUAUUGACAGUAUCUUAAAAUUAGUUACUACAGUGCAAAACUAUGGGGGACUAUUUUUUCCUUAAGAUGUAUUAAGUAAGCAACUGAUUGUUGAAAUUGGAAAUACUUAAUGACAACAAACUUGGAGGGAUAGAGAGCUAUAUCCAGCCAUGCAACAAGGACAUCUCAUGAAAAAAAUUGCUUGAUCUACAGGAGGAAUAAGGCCUUGCCUUGCAGAGUGAUUCUUAUUGGGAGCAUUUAUUGAGCAGGUACAGCUUACUACAUCGUAGAAGUUGCCAGGGGAAUUCAAGAGAUGCAGGAAUGAACUACUCAUUAAAUCCAGAAGCAAGCCAGCAUGAUACCAAUAAAAGUGAUGUGGUCUUAAUUAUAGUUUUGAUCUCCCUAACAAGACAGAAUUUGGUGUCAAAGGGGAGCCAUUGGAAAGAUGGAGAGAUGGAGCCAUUUUUUAAAACUGAAUCAAGAUAGUAAUAAAAGAGGCUUUUUUUGUGAAGAGAACUUAGGAUAGAAAACUUGAGAUGGCUCAAGUUCUGGGUAAGGUUCCCUCAAAAUAGAGUCGCUCUUUUCACCAUCUGCAUAGGUAGAACGAUGUGCAUAUCUCCUUCAACUCCUAAGGAGCCACUACAAAUAACAAAACCUAGUGAGGCCAGUCAGUUUGAGAGGCUUCGCCCUUCAGGGGCAAUUAAGACAGGCUUUCUUUUUUUCCUGUCUUAGGAAGAGUAGAUAGGAAAGACUGGACCCAAGGAAGACAGAUCAGUUUUUAGUUUCUUGAGCUGUGAUGCUAAGGCAGGUAGGCAGCCAGGAAAGAAGACAUCAACCGCCCAGCCCAUGCCUGUGGUGAUUGCAGGGUCCCUGCACUUCAAGGUUUAGGUGGCAGGAUCUUCUGGCACCGCUGCCUUCAGUGUGUUUCUGGGGCAUGCUCCUGGUAAUUUUCUUUGCCUGUGGUUCAGAUUGUGCUCAGCGCAACUCCUUCAACUGAGCCAGGUUGUCCACUUGUGUUAGGCCUGAUUGGUGAUGUUAUUGACCUUCGCCCAGGCUGGAAAAGUGUCCAGGUGGAAGAGGCUAACGCCCCAGGUGUUGAUGGCCACCAUCACUAUCACCAGGCCAAUGACAUUGACUCCCAGGCCAGCUUUCACCUGCAGGACACAAGCCAGCACAGAUCCCUAAGUGAGCGCUUCCUGGGCUCCCAGCUAAGCCUUGGUCCACCCAGGUGGCCCUGAUUGUUCACUGACUGCCUGGGAUGCUCAAGUGUUGCAUUAUGGGGUGGCACAGGACCGUGGAAGGACCAGAAAAAUAGGAGGGAUUAGGGCUGGAUGAGGACAAUUAGAAUCAUCUCCACUUCUUGCCUGUAGUCUUCCCUCUAGGAAGUGGAAUCCCAGGAAGUCUGUUAGUUAUUUAGGAUGUUGAGAGUUAUUUUUGCAGUGAAAUGUGUUAACAAAAUUAAACAGCUCUUUAAAGCAGGAACUUCUCAGAGCCUUAUGUGCUCAUACACACAAGGAACUUGCAGGGGUUAUAUUAUAUGAAGGCUUUGCCACUGUUACCUUUUUCCCUCGAGGAAACAACUUAGGGAAGUAAAGUGUCUUGGGUCACCUGGGGCAGCAAGUCAGCUGCCUCUGCUCAGCCCUUUACUAACAGCAUCAGGGCCUUUGCUUCUUCCCCUGGGAAUUUUACCUUACUGAGUCCAACCUGUAUCAUUUCUGAACUGUCAUUGACACUGACAAGCUGAAGGGUGAUGUGAGGGAUGAUGGGCGGCUAAGCCAGGGCCAGCUGGAAAAAUGUGUACCGUGAGGACAGCCGGCAUCCUUCCAGGGGGUAGCCAGGCACACAGCUUGUAGCUGAAACAGGUCCCCUAGCUGCCAGCAAGUUGGGGAAAUUAAAGGGAAAAAACAGAUGCUAGGAAAUUAUACCAAACAAAUAAGUAGACAUGACCUCUGUACUGCCCUCUGGCUGGAGCCAUGGACCCCUCAAUCAGGCUGGCUCCCUGGGUCUUUUGGCAUGGAGAACAGCCUGUGCUUCUCAACAUGUUCUGAGGAGCUAAAUUAAGGUCCUUUAGAGCUGAAAGGGACCACAGGGAGAAUCUAGUUGGAACCUCCUUAGUUAGCAGAUGAGGAAAUUAAAGCCUGGAAUUAACCCCGCUGGUACUAGAACCCAGGACUGGCUUGCUUCUUGUCAUUCAGUGCCUUUGACAAGGACUGUCUGUGAUCACUGGAUUCCAGUGUAAAUGGCUAGAGGUGAGCAGUGGGGGCACACAACAGAGGAAGCAGAGGCAGAAGAGCUGGGCAGAGUUAUGUGAGAAGACUGGGGAGCAGGAAUGAGGGACAGCGGUGACUUCCUGUCCUUGAAAUAGCACAGAUGAUAUAGAUAAGCAACUUGAAUCUGCUUCCAGCCUGAAACACUUUCUUCUUUCUCUUCAUUUGAUAUUUUACAGGUCUGCUGAGAACAAGUUUCAACAGUGAAAAAUUUCUUUUUCACCUCAGGGUGACUGGCCUCUCUGUAUCCGAUGGUCAGGCCUCAGUCAUUUCUAUCAGUUUGUUUAUCCUUUCCCCAACCCCCAUCAGCUGGAUAUUAAGAACAGCAGUGAGUAUUGGUUGAGGAGUGGUUGAGUCAGUGGCAAAAUGGCUCCUCAAAGUCAUUUUUUGUGAGCCCAACUGACAAUUAGAAAUAAAAAGUGGUGCCUUA